AUGAGUUUUGUGUUUUGGGUUUUGUGUAUUUCUUUAAAUAGCACUGGACUUUGUUCUCACACACAGGUAAGAUUCUUUAAAUCGGCUGAAUCUUCCAAGACUUGCUUUUUCAUUGUUAGAGUAGGUCCAGAGUACCCUUUAACUUAGGGCUAAUUUAGCCUUAUUACAAAAGGCCAUGCCCUUUUGAUGCCCUUGUAUAUACUCUGGCUAAUGGCAACACAGACUAUUCCCAGCGCUGUAUGAGUUCCAGGAAUCAUGUGGCCUGCUCCUUUCC